rnacentral:rRNA from 1 species
CUACGGGAGGCACCAGUGGGGAAUAUUGGACAAUGGGCGGAAGCCUGAUCCAGCCAUGCCGCGUGUGUGAAGAAGGCCUUUUGGUUGUAAAGCACUUUAAGCGAGGAGGAGGCUCCUUUAGUUAAUACCUAAAGAGAGUGGACGUUACUCGCAGAAUAAGCACCGGCUAACUCUGUGCCAGCAGCCGCGGUAAUACAGAGGGUGCGAGCGUUAAUCGGAUUUACUGGGCGUAAAGCGUGCGUAGGCGGCUUUUUAAGUCGGAUGUGAAAUCCCUGAGCUUAACUUAGGAAUUGCAUUCGAUACUGGAAAGCUAGAGUAUGGGAGAGGAUGGUAGAAUUCCAGGUGUAGCGGUGAAAUGCGUAGAGAUCUGGAGGAAUACCGAUGGCGAAGGCAGCCAUCUGGCCUAAUACUGACGCUGAGGUACGAAAGCAUGGGGAGCAAACAGGAUUAGAUACCCCCGUAGUC